GCCGGCCAAAGAAGAACAAAGGAGGAAAGGAAAAAAACAAGAACCCUAGGUAGGAAAAUUGAAGCAAAAGUGUGGGAUUUCAAGGGAUUAAGCUAAUAAAGGUAAAAUUUCUUGAUUUUGACUUGUGAUUUACACUACCCAUGCUUUCUUUUUCAUUUUCCAUGGUUAGAUUUCAUGUUUUCAUGGUGAAUUCAUGGCUGGUCAAAAUGGGUAUGGAGAGAGAAAGAUGUUAGAUUGAUUUGAUUUUAAGUUAUGUUAGUGUUUUUAGUUAGUUUAGCAUAUUUAGAAACAAAACAACAAGAAAAGAAUUCAUUUUUCCCAUCAACCAUCAAUGGCCGAAUUUUCUAGGGAGGAUAUUGUGGCUGAAAUUGAUGAUAUUUCAUGAUAUUUUGGUGUUAUUUGAUGUUUGGUGAGGCUAAAAAUUAAAUGGAAAAUUUUGGUGUGAAAAUCUGAAUUUUUACCUGAUGUAUAGACAUGUGUGAUUAUUGAUCCAGGACUAAUAAAUUGAAUCUCAUUCACAGUUACUGAGGUAAUUUAGGUAUAAUUGGAGUGUAGAAAGUGAAAGAAAUUGAUUUGGAGUUAAAUUGGAGGUUUUAGCCAAUUACACCGAGAAUAGUGCGAAUUAGGUCGAUUACCAUAUUUAAACAGCUAUUCGGACAUUUUGCAUUCCAUCGCAUGCAUUCAUUUAGAUUUAGAAAGGCUGAAAUAGUUUAUGAUAAAUUGACAUAAUUUAUUGAAAUUCGUGUCACGUAUAAUGUAUAGGUGGUGAGCCCUCUAAUAAAGGUAAAGAGAUUGUGCCCGAAGACCGAAAAUAAGAGUAUAUCGAACUCCUAGUACUGUGAGUAACCUUAUCAUUAUUUUAAUUAUCUAAAGUAUGUUUUAACUCGGUUUUGGUGAAAUUUUAUGAAAAUGAGUUAAAUGGCAAAUUUUAGGUUUUAUAAACAGAAAUGUGUUUAAAUGAAAAGAUUUUAUAAAUUGUCUUGAAACGAAAUAACGAUUUUGAAAAUAGAGUAAUUGGAGACCACCAGUAUGUUGUAAAUUUAUGAUUGGAAAUUGAUGGCUUAUGUUAUAUUGUUAUUGUGUUGGCAUGACUGGAUGGGCUGUAUUUUAUGAAUUGUAUAAAUUGUUUUAUUUUACCCUUGCAAGCUGGGUAGUAAUAUAUUAGCCUUAUCAUGUUGUCAAAAUUUUAUUAUAUGGUGAGUUUAGCUUACUGCAGUAGGAGGGUUUCCGUGGACUAGCCUAUUAGAGGGGCACGGUAAACCCUGUUAUAUUUUACCUCGGUUGGAGAGGCGAGUAGGAUAACUCCCGAGGUAUGAUUUUAGAGUUCACUUCACGCCAAACCAGCACGUGAAGGUAAGCUCGGCCAACGCCAAGGAACGGCUAUAUUUUCAAAAUGAAACAUAUUUUAUGCGUACAUGACUUUCUAAUAACCUUGGCAGACUCAAUUGGGAUAGCCCUCGACCAAGGUAUCCUAGAUAACUGAGUAUGAUAAUAAUUUUUGGCAUAAGCCAAGCUUUUUAAGAAAUUCAUAAGCCAUACUAAUUACUUGAUUUAAAUAAAUUGAUUUCAUUUGGUUGAAAUAAGCUGAAAGGUGAUAAAUUACAGUUUGAUGAAAUGUUUUAAUAGUCUCCUUUUACUCGCCUUUAGAUAUUUUAAAUGAUAUUUGUUUACUCACUAGGAUUUUAUAAUCUCACCACCCUCCUUUCCACCCAUUUCAAGUUCAGAAUAGACUGUAGAUAGCUUAUCGCAUCGAGGACUACCAUUGGAAUUGCAUUUUUCAAACUGUAGGUUCACAGUCCUCUUUGCUUUUGAAUAUUCGGGAAUCCCACUUAUUACUGUAAAUUAAAUUUCAUACUCUAGUUAUUUGUACUACUAUAUAUAGGAAUUUAUUUUGCUUUUACGUUAUGAAAAAAAAU
rnacentral:lncRNA from 1 species